GUCCCUGUAGCGUAAUGAAUAGCGUGUUGUACUUUUAAUCCAAAGGUCGUGGAUUCAAAUCCCACCUGAGAUG